UAGAAACUCUCUCAAGAAAUAACCUCACAAU
rnacentral:piRNA from 1 species